UACGGGGGGGUAAGCGUUGUUCGGAAUUACUGGGCGUAAAGGGCUCGUAGGCGGCCAACUAAGUCAGACGUGAAAUCCCUCGGCUUAACCGGGGAACUGCGUCUGAUACUGGAUGGCUUGAGAUUGGGAGAGGGAUGCGGAAUUCCAGGUGUAGCGGUGAAAUGCGUAGAUAUCUGGAGGAACACCGGUGGCGAAGGCGGCAUCCUGGACCAACACUGACACUGAGGAGCGAAAGCCAGGGGAGCAAACGGG
rnacentral:rRNA from 1 species